UACAGGGGGUGCAAACGUUGCUCGGAAUCAUUGGGCGUAAAGCGCACGUAGGCGGUUCGUUAUGUCGGAUGUGAAAGCCCUUGGCUUAACCGAGGAAGUGCAUCCGAAACUGGCGAGCUAGAGUACGAAAGAGGAUCGCGGAAUUCCCGGUGUAGAGGUGAAAUUCGUAGAUAUCGGGAGGAACACCGGUGGCGAAGGCAGCGAUCUGGGUCGAUACUGACGCUGAGGUGCGAAAGCGUGGGGAGCAAACAGG
rnacentral:rRNA from 1 species